GGUAAAAGUCGUAACAAGGUCUCCGUUGGUGAACCAGCGGAGGGAUCAUUACAGGACUCGCAAGACUCCUACAACCCUGUGAACUUAACUAUAAGCACGUUGCUUCGGCGGGUGUCUCGGAGGGGGUUCUCCCUCCCCGAGACGCUAAACCCGCCGGCAGCCUACUAUACUCUGUCUCUUUGCGUUGGCAUCUCGAGUACAAUCAAACAAGUUAAAACUUUCAACAACGGAUCUCUUGGUUCUG
rnacentral:misc_RNA from 1 species